rnacentral:rRNA from 1 species
UGCCCGGCGUACGGGGAAGGACGUCAAUAGUCACACAGUCCUUGACGGUAUAAUAACCACCAUCAUGGCGACCAUCCAAAGGAUAAACAUCAUAGGCAGUCGGGAGGGUAGUCGGAACCGAAGAAGACUCAAAGCGAACCAAACAGGCAAAAAAUUUAGGGUCGGCAUCAAAAGCAAUAUCAGCACCAACAGAAACAACCUGAUUAGCGGCGUUGACAGAUGUAUCCAUCUGAAUGCAAUGAAGAAAACCACCAUUACCAGCAUUAACCGUCAAACUAUCAAAAUAUAACGUUGACGAUGUAGCUUUAGGUGUCUGUAAAACAGGUGCCGAAGAAGCUGGAGUAACAGAAGUGAGAACCAGCUUAUCAGAAAAAAAGUUUGA